GCCGCGUGAGUGACGAAGGCCUUAGGGUCGUAAAGCUCUUUCGCCAGAGAUGAUAAUGACAGUAUCUGGUAAAGAAACCCCGGCUAACUCCGUGCCAGCAGCCGCGGUAAUACGGAGGGGGUUAGCGUUGUUCGGAAUUACUGGGCGUAAAGCGCACGUAGGCGGAUUGGAAAGUAUGGGGUGAAAUCCCAGGGCUCAACCCUGGAACUGCCUUGUAAACUCCCAGUCUAGAGUUCGAGAGAGGUGAGUGGAAUUCCAAGUGUAGAGGUGAAAUUCGUAGAUAUUUGGAGGAACACCAGUGGCGAAGGCGGCUCACUGGCUCGAUACUGACGCUGAGGUGCGAAAGUGUGGGGAGCAAACAGGAUUAGAUACCCUGGUAGUCCACACCGUAAACGAUGAAUGCCAGACGUCAGGGGGCUUGCCCUUUGGUGUCACACCUAACGGAUUAAGCAUUCCGCCUGGGGAGUACGGUCGCAAGAUUAAAACUCAAAGGAAUUGACGGGGGCCCGCACAAGC
rnacentral:rRNA from 1 species